GUUAACGUGGCAGAGCUCGGUUAUGCAAAAGAUCUAAGCCCUUUUCCCCAGGGGUUCAAAUCCCCUCGUUAACU
rnacentral:tRNA from 1 species